GAGAGUGGGUAGUCCGCACGAGCGCACCUCACUUUUAGUUGCCAUCAUUAAGUUGGGCACUCUGAAAGAACUGCCAGUGAUAAGCUGGAGGAAGGUGGGGAUGACGUCAAGUCCUCAUGGCCCUUACGUGUUGGGCUGCACACGUGCUACGAUGGCAUCUACAACAGGAAGCAAAACGGCAACGUUAAGCAAAUCCCGAAAAGAUGCCUCAGUUCGGAUUGCACUCUGCAACUCGAGUGCAUGAAGCUGGAAUUACUAGUAAUCGUGGAUCAGCGUGCCACGGUGAAUGCGUUCCCGGGUCUUGUACACACCGCCCGUCACACCAUGGGAGUUGGUUCUACCUUAAGGCAAGGUUUUAAACCCUUGACCACGGUAUAGUCAGCGACUGGGGUGAAGUCGUAACAAGGUAGCCGUAGGGGAACCUGCGGCUGGAUUACCUCCUUUCU
rnacentral:rRNA from 1 species